rnacentral:rRNA from 1 species
GACGAACGCUGGCGGCGUGCUUAACACAUGCAAGUCGAACGGAAAGGCCCUGCUUUUGUGGGGUGCUCGAGUGGCGAACGGGUGAGUAACACGUGAGUAACCUGCCCUUGACUUUGGGAUAACUUCAGGAAACUGGGGCUAAUACCGGAUAGGAGCUCCUGCUGCAUGGUGGGGGUUGGAAAGUUUCGGCGGUUGGGGAUGGACUCGCGGCUUAUCAGCUUGUUGGUGGGGUAGUGGCUUACCAAGGCUUUGACGGGUAGCCGGCCUGAGAGGGUGACCGGCCACAUUGGGACUGAGGUACGGCCCAGACUCCUACGGGAGGCAGCAGUGGGGAAUAUUGCACAAUGGGCGGAAGCCUGAUGCAGCAACGCCGUGUGCGGGAUGACGGCCUUCGGGUUGUAAACCGCUUUCGCCUGUGACGAAGCGUGAGUGACGGUAAUGGGUAAAGAAGCACCGGCUAACUACGUG